UACGGAGGGAGCAAGCGUUACUCGGAAUUAUUGGGCGUAAAGGGCGCGUAGGCGAUUUGAAAAGUCUUGUGUGAAAGCCCCGAGCUUAACUCGGGAAGUGCACAAGAAACUGUUGAAUUUGAGUUCCGGAGAGGAAGGCAGAAUUCCCGGUGUAGCGGUGAAAUGCGCAGAUAUCAGGAAGAACACCCGUGGCGAAGGCGGCUCUCUGGGACGGUACUGACGCUGAGACGCGAAAGCGUGGGGAGCGAACAGG
rnacentral:rRNA from 1 species